GGGAAAGACACGCUAUAGCUAGAUCGUGUAGAUGUGAGCUCUUCACUCCCCAUCAGAAAGACCAAAAAGCACACCAGUCAUUCAACGGAAAAACCUUAUCAAAUAUCCAGACCUGAAGAAAAAGAUAAACUCCAGUCAACAAAAGACCGAGGCAUGGUACCAGCAGCAAAAAGGGAACAACAGAUACCGAUAUUAGUAUCCCAAACCAUACCGACACCGCCUGUGGCUUCAGAAGUUGUACUGCCAAACAAAGACAACAAGACCACAGAUAAAGCU